rnacentral:tRNA from 1 species
UCCUUGGUAGCUCAGCUGGUAAAGAAUCUGCCUGCAAUGCAGGAGACCCUGGUUCGAUUCCUGGGGCAGGAA